GAUGAACGCUGGCGGCGUGCCUAAUACAUGCAAGUCGAGCGAACAGACGAGGAGCUUGCUCCUCUGACGUUAGCGGCGGACGGGUGAGUAACACGUGGAUAACCUACCUAUAAGACUGGGAUAACUUCGGGAAACCGGAGCUAAUACCGGAUAAUAUAUUGAACCGCAUGGUUCAAUAGUGAAAGACGGUUUUGCUGUCACUUAUAGAUGGAUCCGCGCCGCAUUAGCUAGUUGGUAAGGUAACGGGUUACCAAGACAACGAUGCGUAGCCGACCUGAGAGGGUGAUCGGCCACACUGGCACUGAGACACGGUCCAGACUCCUACGGGAGGCAGCAGUAGGGAAUCUUCCGCAAUGGGCGAAAGCCUGACGGAGCAACGCCGCGUGAGUGAUGAAGGUCUUCGGAUCGUAAAACUCUGUUAUUAGGGAAGAACAAAUGUGUAAGUAACUAUGCACGUCUUGACGGUACCUAAUCAAAAAGCCACGGCUAACUACGUG
rnacentral:rRNA from 1 species